UUUCACUAUACUGUAUUGUUUGCUGAUGAUGCAAACAUUUACGGUAACAUGGAAAACACGUCGGAAUGCCGGAGUCAUAAUAAUUAUAAAAAAUAUGGAAAAGUAACACGGAGUCACAUGGAAAAUACGGAGUCCACCGUAAAAUAUGGAAAACAGUAAUAAUUAUAAGUCGUAUGUAAUUUAUAAAAAAUAUAAACAAACGAACGAAUAUCAAAGAAUUUUUGUUUAUUUCUCUAAAAUGCCAUGAAAAGAUUGAUUCUUUUUAAUAAAAAUUAAUGCACCAAUUCGUUAAGCAAAUAUUCUAGGACAAUUAAGAAAACAACUAUGACACACACACAAUGUUGUGGGAGAAGGGUUGUCGAGGAGAAAUGCUCCGAUUAUACUUUAAACUGUGGCCAAAGUGUCGCCCCACAGACUCACUAUUACAGCAAUAUGAUUAUGAUAUAAUUAUAUGUCCUCAGGGGGUUGUGGUUCCCCCAUGUUGGACUUUACCCAAGGGGUAGUAGAUCCCCGAGAUGGGCAUCUUAAAUGUCCAAGGGGUAGUAGAUCCCCGUGAUGGUCAUUGUUUACUUUAAUGUCCAAGGGGUAGUAGAUCCCCGUGAUGGUCAUUGUUUACUUUAAUGUCCAAGGGGUAGUAGAUCCCCGUGAUGGUCAUUGUUUACUUUAUAAUACACUGUAUAAUACAUUGAUUUGUGUGAGUCUAUGGGGUUGAGGGUGACCUUUGGGAGCACUCCAUCCCCACAAAUACACAGCAUGUGUAUUCCCCAUAGACGAAAAAACCCAACUCCCACCACAACUGUAAUCGUAUAGAAGACAGAUGAUCUUUGUGCUUUUCGAAGACAUGUCGUCUAUAUUUCUCUUUCGACACACUUUAAAUAAUUAAUUGAUUAAAAUCAUGUUAUAUGCAAAUAGAAUUUUUUUUUUUUUUUUUGAAACUACAAGUUGAUCGUAAGACAUAUAUUUGAGCAUUACCAUCACUCAUACUACAGCUGGAACAUCAGGGAGGCCAGGAAAAACCUGCAAUAUCUUUACAGGAAACCUGGAUGGGGCCAAGACAACCAGCAGCUUCCCCACAAAGCUUCUAUCUUACAGGUGCUUGAUUGGAGGGUUGGUAACACGACAAAUAAAGCUCACUAUCAUAUUUUUUUUAUUUAUUUAUUUAUUUAUUAUUUUUUUUGUUUUGUUUUCCUUACGAUUUAUUUAUUUUUAAUGUCAAUGUGUUCGAUAGCAAUUUUGCAACAUGUAUUUGUUAACCCCACUUAUUUUAUUUUAAUUAUGAUUGGCGGAACUUAACUUGACAUAAUAUAAUUCUCGAAUUAUAUGACUUUAAUCUCAGGAAAAAUAGCUUGUUCAAUAUUUUAAAAUAGCAGGAUCAAAAUGCAAUUCAGGUGUUUAUAACCACAGUGUUGUGAUUGAACUGUUUGAACAUGCAAUCAUGCAUGUAUGAGAGUAGCAGCUAGAAAUUGUAAGAAUAUGUAUUUGGUAGACUAAAAAGAUCAUGCAGUAUAGUGAUAAGACAUUAAUGAAUUUUCAUGAGUAACCAAUCUUUCAUGACAUAUCCAACUUGCCGAUUUAUCGCAAAUGUAGAUAAAGUAGAUCCUAAUUUUCUCUCACACAUGAACUUGAUUUCCUAUGUUGUGCCCAGUAAGGUAUUGAUAAUGUAUACGGUCCAAAUUAGUGUUUGUUUUAUUAAAGAGUGCCCUGAAAUAGCUAGAAAGGAAGUUUUAUAUAAUCUACAUUUUAAUGAUUGAAUGCAGUUUAAUGUGACGCUUUAUUGAAACCCAAUCCCCGAAUCAGAGGCCCAAUCUGGCCGGUUAAUUAAUAACCUCAAGAUGGUAAUAAAAUUGACAUUGAAAUCGAAAUUGAAAUACAGAUCGAUUUAGCGUGAAUAGUCGAUACAUUUGGCGUUCGACAAUUACUAUUCUCGAAUUCUGUGAUAAAAUAGAUGAAGUUAAAGCAUUUUGGUUGGUUUGAAAAGCGAAAUACGAAGCAAACGUGUGAAUUCACCGCAUACUUACGCACCAAAUGCAUGUGCAUACAUAUACAUUGAUAUACGAAUGAUAUCAAAUGACACUUGUUGAAUUCGUGUAUGGCCUCUCGAUCUUGUUAUAAUUCCCCCAGCGGCGGCUUCAUUUAACUUCAUCGGUUGAGCCAACGUAUUCCUUUGUCCACCAGAAAGGUAAAAGCGCUUGACCACUGUAGAGUUAUACUUGAAUAGACUGCGUCUCACUGAAUCACACAUCGAUACUUGAGCCAAGGUAUUCCUUUGUCCACCAGAAGAGUAAAAGCGCUUGGCCGCUUGCCCGCGGCAGUUAUAUUUCAAUAAACAUCAUCUCACUGAAUCAUACAUCAAUACACGAGCCAACGUAUUCCUAUACGUUAUAUUUGACUGAUAAACUGCGUCUCACGAAUUAUACAUCAAUACUUGAGCCAACGUAUUCCUUUGUCCACCAGAAGAGUAAAAGCGCUUGCCCGCGGCAGAGCUAUAUUUCAAUAAACUGCGUCUCACUGAAUAAUACUGUGUUACUGACCGUUGCUUUAUAUCCACGAAAUAUCUUUUCCAAAAGUAUAAUUUUGAAGUACUUUGCCACGAGAUCAUACAAUUUUGCUUGCAAG